GCACGCGCGCUAUACUGACACACCCAGUCAGCAUCCCACCUUGCCUGCAAAGGCUGGGCAACCUGGCUAACCUGUGUCGUGAUGGGGAUGGAUCAUUGCAACUAUUGUUCCCAAACGAGGAAUUCCUAGUAGGCGUAAGUCAUCAACUUGUGUUGAUUAUGUCCCUGCCCUUUGUACACACCGCCCGUCGCUCCUACCGAUUGAGUGGUCCGGUGAACAGUCUGGAUCGUCUGUGGGAUCUAGCUCUUGGAUAGUGCAGCUGCAAGCUCAGUGAACCUUAUCACUUAGAGGAAGGAG
rnacentral:rRNA from 1 species